CCUACGGGAGGCAGCAGUGGGGAAUUUUGGACAAUGGGCGAAAGCCUGAUCCAGCAAUGCCGCGUGAGUGAAGAAGGCCUUCGGGUUGUAAAGCUCUUUUGUCAGGGAAGAAACGGUGAGAGCUAAUAUCUUUUGCUAAUGACGGUACCUGAAGAAUAAGCACCGGCUAACUACGUGCCAGCAGCCGCGGUAAUACGUAGGGUGCAAGCGUUAAUCGGAAUUACUGGGCGUAAAGCGUGCGCAGGCGGUUUUGUAAGUCUGAUGUGAAAUCCCCGGGCUCAACCUGGGAAUUGCAUUGGAGACUGCAAGGCUAGAAUCUGGCAGAGGGGGGUAGAAUUCCACGUGUAGCAGUGAAAUGCGUAGAUAUGUGGAGGAACACCGAUGGCGAAGGCAGCCCCCUGGGUCAAGAUUGACGCUCAUGCACGAAAGCGUGGGGAGCAAACAGGAUUAGAUACCCUGGUAGUCCACGCCCUAAACGAUGUCUACUAGUUGUCGGGUCCUAAUUGACUUGGUAACGCAGCUAACGCGUGAAGUAGACCGCCUGGGGAGUACGGUUCGCAAAGNUUAAAACUUAAAGAGUUAGUUACGGCGNGNGAGNGCGACGACGACGACGAGGAGGAGGAG
rnacentral:rRNA from 1 species